CCUACGGGAGGCAGCAGUGAGGAAUAUUGGUCAAUGGGCGAGAGCCUGAACCAGCCAAGUCGCGUGAAGGAUGACGGCCCUACGGGUUGUAAACUUCUUUUGUCAGGGAGUAAUUGGGUCCACGCGUGGGCUUAGCGAGAUUAUCUGAAGAAAAAGCAUCGGCUAACUCCGUGCCAGCAGCCGCGGUAAUACGGAGGAUGCGAGCGUUAUCCGGAUUUCUUGGGUUUAAAGGGUGCGUAGGCGGAAUAUCAAGUCAGCGGUAAAAAUUCGGGGCUCAACCCCGUCGUGCCGUUGAAACUGGUGUUCUGGAGUGGGCGAGAGGUAUGCGGAAUGCGUGGUGUAGCGGUGAAAUGCGUAGAUAUCACGCAGAACACCGAUUGCGAAGGCAGCAUGCCGGCGCCCAACUGACGCUGAAGCACGAAAGCGUGGGUAGCGAACAGGAUUAGAUACCCGAGUAGUC
rnacentral:rRNA from 1 species